rnacentral:rRNA from 1 species
CAGCCGCCGCGGGAAUACGUAGGGUCCGAGCGUUGUCCGGAAUUAUUGGGCGUAAAGGGCUCGUAGGCGGUUUGUCGCGUCGGGAGUGAAAACCAGGUGCUUAACACCUGGCCUGCUUUCGAUACGGGCAGACUAGAGGCAUUCAGGGGAGAACGGAAUUCCUGGUGUAGCGGUGAAAUGCGCAGAUAUCAGGAGGAACACCGGUGGCGAAGGCGGUUCUCUGGGAAUGUCCUGACGCUGAGGAGCGAAAGUGUGGGGAGCGAACAGGAUUAGAGACCCCCGUAGUCCCUGUCUCUUAUAC